GACGAACGCUGGCGGUGUGCUUAACACAUGCAAGUGGUGCGACGAACCAGAGCUUGCUCUGGGGCAAAGCCGCGAACGGGUGAGUAACACGUGGGUGAUCUACCCGAUGACCGGGACAACCCGAGGAAACUCGGGCUAAUACCGGAUGUGGUACGGAGACAUAAGUCUCUUUACUAAAGGUAGCUUCGGCUUCCGCAUUGGGAGGGGCCCGCGGCCCAUUAGCUAGUUGGUGGGGUCAAGGCCUACCAAGGCAACGAUGGGUAGCUGGUCUGAGAGGACGAUCAGCCACACUGGGACUGAGACACGGCCCAGACUCCUACGGGAGGCAGCAGUGGGGAAUCUUGCGCAAUGCGCGAAAGCGUGACGCAGCAACACCGCGUGAGGGAAGACGGCCUAGGUUGUAAACCUCUUCAGAUGGGACGAAGGUG
rnacentral:rRNA from 1 species